AUACGGAGGGUCCGAGCGUUAAUCGGAAUUACUGGGCGUAAAGCGCGCGUAGGUGGUUCAGUCAGUCAGAUGUGAAAGCCCCGGGCUCAACCUGGAAACUGCACCUGAUACUGCUGAGCUAGAGUACGGUAGAGGGCAGUGGAAUUUCCGGUGUAGCGGUGAAAUGCGUAGAGAUCGGAAGGAACACCAGUGGCGAAGGCGACUGCCUGGACUGAUACUGACACUGAGGUGCGAAAGCGUGGGUAGCAAACAGGAUUAGAUACCCUGGUAGUCCACGCCGUAAACGAUGGCAACUAGCCGUUGGGGGACUUGAUCCUUUAGUGGCGAAGCUAACGCGAUAAGUUGACCGCCUGGGGAGUACGGCCGCAAGGUUAAAACUCAAAUGAAUUGACGGGG
rnacentral:rRNA from 1 species